rnacentral:rRNA from 1 species
GACGAACGCUGGCGGCGUGCCUAAUACAUGCAAGUAGAACGCAGUUGCGAACGGGUGAGUAACGCGUAGGUAACUGCCUGGUAGCGGGGGAUAACUAUUGGAAACGAUAGCUAAUACCGCAUACUACCAGAUGGAUCUGCGUUGUAUUAGCUAGUUGGUGGGGUAACGGCUCACCAAGGCAACGAUACAUAGCCGACCCUAGAUGGGUAACCGCCAAAAUGGGACUGGGAAAAGGGGCAGGAGCCCUCGGGGGGCAGCAGUAGGGAGUUCUCGGAAAUGGGGCGAAAGCUGACCGAGGAAAGCCGGGUGAGUGAAGGAGGGUUUAGGAUCGUAAAACUCUGGUGUUAAGGGAGCGGUACUUAACCAGAAAGGGACGGCUAACUACGUGCCAGCAGCCGCGGUAAUUC